UACAGAGGGUGCAAGCGUUAAUCGGAAUUACUGGGCGUAAAGGGCGCGUAGGUGGGUAUUCAAGUCAGAUGUGAAAGCCCUGGGCUUAACCUAGGAAUGGCAUAUGAUACUGGAUAUCUAGAGUGGAGUAGAGGGUAGCGGAAUUCUCGGUGUAGCGGUGAAAUGCGUAGAUAUCAGGAGGAACACCGGUGGCGAAGGCGGGUCUCUGGGCCGAUACUGACGCUGAGGAGCGAAAGCGUGGGGAGCGAACAGG
rnacentral:rRNA from 1 species